rnacentral:rRNA from 1 species
GACGAACCGUCCAAACGUUAUUCGGAAUCACUGGGCUUACAGAGUUCGUAGGCGGUCUGGAAAGUUGGGUGUGAAAUCCCCUCGGCCUAACCGAGGAACUGCGCUUGAAAACUACCAGACUCGAGGGAGAUAGAGGAAAGCGGAACUGAUGGUGGAGCGGUGAAAUGCGUUGAUAUCAUCAGGAACACCGGUGGCGAAGGCGGCUUUCUGGGUCUUACCUGACGCUGAGGAGCGAAAGCGUGGGGAGCGAACAGG